GCCCAACAGCUAGCCCCCCAAAAAAACACAACAAUUCCAUAUAAACUAAACCCUAAUACCCAAACCCUAACAAAACUAAACCAUUUUUCCCCCUGAGUAUAGGAGAUAGAAAAGAACCUAGGAGCUAUAAAGAAAGUACCGCAAGGGAAAGCUGAAAUAGAAAUGAAACAACCCAGUACAUUAAGCCCAAAAAAGCAAAGACUAACCCUU
rnacentral:rRNA from 1 species